rnacentral:rRNA from 1 species
GAAUCUUCCGCAAUGGACGAAAGUCUGACGGAGCAACGCCGCGUGAGCGAAGAAGGCCUUCGGGUCGUAAAGCUCUGUUGUUAGGGAAGAACAAGUAUCGUUCGAAUAGGGCGGUACCUUGACGGUACCUAACCAGAAAGCCACGGCUAACUACGUGCCAGCAGCCGCGGUAAUACGUAGGUGGCAAGCGUUAUCCGGAAUUAUUGGGCGUAAAGCGCGCGCAGGCGGUCCUUUAAGUCUGAUGUGAAAGCCCACGGCUCAACCGUGGAGGGUCAUUGGAAACUGGGGGACUUGAGUGCAGAAGAGGAGAGCGGAAUUCCACGUGUAGCGGUGAAAUGCGUAGAGAUGUGGAGGAACACCAGUGGCGAAGGCGGCUCUCUGGUCUGUAACUGACGCUGAGGCGCGAAAGCGUGGGGAGCGAACAG